rnacentral:rRNA from 1 species
GGCGAGAGUUUGAUCAUGGCUCAGAUUGAACGCUGGCGGCAUGCCUUACACAUGCAAGUCGAACGGCAGCACGGGAGCAAUCCUGGUGGCGAGUGGCGAACGGGUGAGUAAUACAUCGGAACGUGCCCAGUAGUGGGGGAUAACCCGGCGAAAGCCGGACUAAUACCGCAUACGACCUACGGGUGAAAGCAGGGGAUCGCAAGACCUUGCGCUAUCGGAGCGGCCGAUGUCAGAUUAGCUUGUUGGCGGGGUAAAAGCCCACCAAGGCGACGAUCUGUAGCUGGUCUGAGAGGACGACCAGCCACACUGGGACUGAGACACGGCCCAGACUCCUACGGGAGGCAGCAGUGGGGAAUUUUGGACAAUGGGCGCAAGCCUGAUCCAGCCAUGCCGCGUGCGGGAAGAAGGCCUUCGGGUUGUAAACCGCUUUUGUCAGGGAAGAAACGCUCCGGAUUAAUACCCCGGAGUAAUGACGGUACCUGAAGAAUAAGCACCGGCUAACUACGUGCCAGCAGCCGCGGUAAUACGUAGGGUGCAAGCGUUAAUCGGAAUUACUGGGCGUAAAGCGUGCGCAGGCGGCUUUGCAAGACAGAUGUGAAAUCCCCGGGCUUAACCUGGGAACUGCAUUUGUGACUGCAUGGCUAGAGUGCGGCAGAGGGGGAUGGAAUUCCGCGUGUAGCAGUGAAAUGCGUAGAUAUGCGGAGGAACACCGAUGGCGAAGCAAUCCCCUGGGCCUGCACUGACGCUCAUGCACGAAAGCGUGGGGAGCAAACAGGAUUAGAUACC